rnacentral:tRNA from 1 species
AGGUAUAUAGGUUAAAAUAAAUAAACCGCAAAUUUUCAAAAUUUGAGAAAGAGUAAAUGAUUCUUGUACCUG